rnacentral:rRNA from 1 species
AUGUCCUUCUCUCAGCCUUUCCACCCCGACCUGGUCAGGCACCGACCUCACCCCUAUAGCCACGACCCCCCUCCUCCCCACCGCCCCCGCCGCCGCGGCCGUGACCAUGACGACGCGUACCGCACCCAUUCCCAAUCGUACCCCCAGCCAUGUCCCCAUGCCAACACUGUCCCCUACCACCCCCGCCACGAUCCGCUCGCUCUCUCCCACCUCCAGGAACCUAUCUUUCUGGCCCCCUCUCAGCGGGCCCCGGGCCCACCUCCGCCGAAGCGGGCUCGCCGCGCGCCAGAGCCCCGGUGUGAUCCGUCGGUCGCGGCCGUGCCACGCCUGUUGCCGACGAGACAUCCCGAGGAUGGUGACGCCAGGGCGUUGCUGUCGCGAGAGGAGAUCGAGCGAAGGUCACCUUCGUGGAAGGACGGCAUCGACUCCGCUUUGGAGGCAAGGUUGCGCGCGUCCUACUGCGCCUACCUGCGCUGCCUCGGCUUCCGCCUUGGGCUGCCGCAGACGACUGUUGCGACGGCAGUGGUGUAUUGCCAUCGGUUCUUUUUCCACAGAUCCCAUGCCUGCAACGACAGAUUUUUGGUUGCGACUGCGGCAUUGUUUCUGGCAUCAAAGACAGAGGAAACGACAUGCCUUUUGAAUACUAUUCUUAGGGCUUCUUGUGAAGUUUCUGAAAACCAAGAAUUCAACCUCCUUCCUUACAUGUCGCGUGGUCAAAACUGGUUUGAACUGUACCGAGAAAGUGUAAUACAGGCGGAGCAGAUGAUACUGACAACACUUGAUUUUGAACUUGAAGUGGCCCAUCCAUAUACUUCACUUUCAUCCGCUUUGAGCAGACUAGGACUUUCACAUUCCGUUCUAUUUAACAUUGCCUUGAGUCUGAUUAAUGAAGGGCUUCGGAGUUCUCUUUGGCUUCAGUUCAAACCUCAUCAUAUUGCGGCUGGAGCUGCAUUCCUUGCUGGAAAAUUCCUCCGCUAUGACAUAACCUUUCACCAAAAUUUCUGGCAUGAGUUCAAAACGACACCACAUAUUGUUCAAGAUGUUGUCCAACAGUUGAAGGAGCUACUUUAG